UGAAAAGGUACAAGGCUUGCCAGAGCUGGCC
rnacentral:piRNA from 1 species